GCAUAUCAAUAAGCGGAGGAAAAGAAACCAACAGGGAUUGCCCUAGUAACGGCGAGUGAAGCGGCAACAGCUCAAAUUUGAAAUCUGGCUCUCGGGCCCGAGUUGUAAUUUGUAGAGGAUGCUUUUGAUGCGGUGCCUUCCGAGUUCCCUGGAACGGGACGCCAUAGAGGGUGAGAGCCCCGUCUGGUUGGAUGCCAAAUCUCUGUAAAGCUCCUUCAACGAGUCGAGUAGUUUGGGAAUGCUGCUCUAAAUGGGAGGUAUAUGUCUUCUAAAGCUAAAUACCGGCCAGAGACCGAUAGCGCACAAGUAGAGUGAUCGAAAGAUGAAAAGCACUUUGAAAAGAGAGUUAAAAAGUACGUGAAAUUGUUGAAAGGGAAGCGUUUAUGACCAGACUUGGGCUUGGUUAAUCAUCUGGGGUUCUCCCCAGUGCACUUUUCCAGUCCAGGCCAGCAUCAGUUUUCCCCGGGGGAUAAAGGCGUCGGGAAUGUGGCUCUCUUCGGGGAGUGUUAUAGCCCGUCGUGUAAUACCCUGGGGGGGACUGAGGUUCGCGCAUCUGCAAGGAUGCUGGCGUAAUGGUCAUCAACGACCCGUCUUGAAACACGGACCAAGGAGUCGUCUUCGUAUGCGAGUGUUCGGGUGUCAAACCCCUACGCGUAAUGAAAGUGAACGCAGGUGAGAGCUUCGGCGCAUCAUCGACCGAUCCUGAUGUUCUCGGAUGGAUUUGAGUAAGAGCAUACGGGGCCGGACCCGAAAGAAGGUGAACUAUGCCUGUAUAGGGUGAAGCCAGAGGAAACUCUGGUGGAGGCUCGCAGCGGUUCUGACGUGCAAAUCGAUCGUCAAAUAUGGGCAUGGGGGGCGAAAGACUAAUCGAACCUUCUAGUAGCUGGUUUCCGCCGA
rnacentral:rRNA from 1 species